AACGAACGCUGGCGGCGCGCCUAAUACAUGCAAGUCGAACGAGAAGCUGUAGCAAUACAGUUGUACAGUGGCGAACGGGUGAGGAAUACAUGGGUGACCUACCCUCGAGUGGGGAAUAACCAGCCGAAAGGUUGGCUAAUACCGCGUACGCUUCCCAGUCUACGGGUUGGGAAGGAAAGCGAUGCCGUGGGUAUCGCGCUCAAGGUUGGGCUCAUGUCCUAUCAGCUUGNGGUGGGGGUAACGGCUCACCAAGGCAACGACGGGUAGCUGGUCUGAGAGGACGAUCAGCCACACUGGCACUGCGACACGGGCCAGACUCCUACGGGAGGCAGCAGUAAGGAAUAUUGCGCAAUGGGCGAAAGCCUGACGCAGCGACGCCGCGUGGGGGAUGAAGGUCUUCGGAUUGUAAACCCCUUUCGGGUAGGGAAGAUGGAACGAGCAAUCGUUCGGACGGUACCUCCAGAAGCAGCCACGGCUAACUUCGUGCCA
rnacentral:rRNA from 1 species